CUCCAGUGAUGACCUCUCAUUAGUGCCGCGUGUCUGGGCCACUGAUCUCCUGUGAUGGAGCUGAGGUUCUGAGGAG